UACGGAGGGUGCAAGCGUUGUCCGGAUUUAUUGGGUUUAAAGGGUGCGUAGGCGGCCCGGUAAGUCAGUGGUGAAAGCCUCCAGCUCAACUGGAGAACUGCCAUUGAUGCUGCCGGGCUUGAGUACAGACGAGGUUGGCGGAAUUGAUUGUGUAGCGGUGAAAUGCAUAGAUACAAUCAAGAACUCCGAUUGCGUAGGCAGCUAACUAGGCUGUAACUGACGCUGAGGCACGAAAGCGUGGGGAGCGAACAGG
rnacentral:rRNA from 1 species